rnacentral:rRNA from 1 species
AGCAGCCGCGGUAAUUCCAGCUCCAAUAGCGUAUAUUAAAGUUGUUGCAGUUAAAAAGCUCGUAGUUGAAUUUCGGGGUCAAUACGUCGGUCGUGCCUCGGUACGCACUGACGUUAUUGAUCCCUCCCUUCUGACGAACCGUGAUGUCAUUAAUUUGGUGUUGCGGGGAAUCAGGACUGUUACCUUGAAAAAUUAGAGUGUUUAAAGCAGGCAAUCGCUCGAAUACAUUAGCAUGGAAUAAUGAAAUAGGACGUUCGAACCUAUUUUGUUGGUUUCUAGGAUCGACGUAAUGAUUAAUAGGGAUAGUUGGGGGCAUUAGUAUUCAAUUGUCAGAGGUGAAAUUCUUGGAUUUAUUGAAGACUAACUACUGCGAAAGCAAUUUGCCAAGGAUGUUUUCAUUAAUCAAGAACGAAAGUUAGGGGAUCGAAGACGAUCAGAUACCGUCGUAGUCUUAACCAUAAACUAUGCCGACUAGGGAUCGGAUGAUGUUAAUUUUUCAAUGACUCAUUCGGCGCCUUAC